GCCUGUUUGAUAUAGUGGUAUCACUGCUGAACUAAAACUCCAAGAUACCAGGGUUCAAGUCCCCAUGUGGGCA